rnacentral:rRNA from 1 species
CGGACGGGUGAGUAACACGUGGAUAACCUACCUAUAAGACUGGGAUAACUUCGGGAAACCGGAGCUAAUACCGGAUAAUAUAUUGAACCGCAUGGUUCAAUAGUGAAAGACGGUUUUGCUGUCACUUAUAGAUGGAUCCGCGCCGCAUUAGCUAGUUGGUAAGGUAACGGCUUACCAAGGCAACGAUGCGUAGCCGACCUGAGAGGGUGAUCGGCCACACUGGGAACUGAGACACGGUCCAGACUCCUACGGGAGGCAGCAGCC